AUAUGACAUAUUACACAUCAUGUUUACAUCUGACGAGCAUAUGUCAGAUGUAAAAGGCUAUAUGGAGUAGCCUUUUCAUCUGGCUUCAAUAUCCACAGAUGUGAAAAAUAAAUAGAAAAGACUUUUUACAUCUGACUUCAAUGUACCAGAAGCAUAACUAAACGCGGUGGCAAUACUGUAAUUAUCUCGAAAAUUGUCUAAAAUAAAUAUAUAUCUGGGCAAAUAUAUCCUCAGAUGUAACAAGUCAGGUUGAGUAAAUAAAAAAAAAAAAAAAAAUUGGAACCGAAUAAUUGAUUCAAGUGCAAAACACUCUCAGACGCGUACCUACACUCAAAUAUAACACUCUCUCUCUCGAUGUCAAGAACAAAACCGAAGAACAAACCCAAACCCUCGAUUCGUCUCGAUUCCUCUCUCGAUUCGACAAUCUCUCACUCUCACUGUCACUCGUCCUCUCUCACUCAUUCUCUCGAUCUCGAUUUCGUCCUCUCUCUCACAGUGGUUCUCUCGAUCUGGAUCUCGAACCCUAAGCCCCAAAUCGAAGCUCAGUGAAACAAAUUGAAGCUUCUCUCAGAUUGUUAUCGUUCCUCUCCCUACAACUGAAAACACAAACAGGUAAAAAUACACAAGUUACUUUUAGAAUCAAGAUUCAGGACGAAAAAGAAGGAGGAAGCAGAUCUGUUUUUUGUUCCAUCUUAUGUUAAAUGUGCACGUAUGAUGGGUGGACUUAACGACAAAGAAAUUAAUAACACUUUUGUUAAAGUUAUUAGCCAAAUGCCUUAUUUUCGGUUAUCUGGAGGCAGGAACCACAUAUUUGUUUUCCCAAGUGGAGCUGGUGCUCACUUGUUCAAGUCUUGGGCAACAUAUAUAAAUCGCUCCAUUAUUCUUACACCUGAGGAUUUUUAAACCUUGUUGAAGGAGAAAAACAAAUUCAAACCUGGAUGUUUUCAAGAAGGAGAAAGACAAAUUCAAACCUGGAUCUAAGGUAGAAGAAAAUUAAGGGUUGUUUAAGAACAAGUGGAGUGGCAGCAAAAGCUGCGUUUCUGUUACUAAACAGCUCGUCUAGUGAGAAGCAUCAUCGCCUAGCGACGACAGCAGCGUGCUCUGCCUCUGUAUGUUGUUCUUUCCCCUAUCCAACCAUUCUUGAUCGUAGGUAAGCAAACUCAAGCUCUUUUCCUUCUCUCUAGGAUUAUUCUAUUCUUUUGGUGUUACAAAUAUCACUAAUCUCAUUCUUGGUAAUUAUAUGUGGCUUGUUUGGAGAAAGAGGCUGUGAUUGAAGUAUUUGGAGCUGAGAAUUGAAUGAAAAUGGAAGGACAUGGCCAUUUGGAGAAAGGUAUGAAAUUGGAGAUUGGUGAUUGUUAGAGGAGUUUCAUGGAAACUCGUAAGUACGAGUUUUGCUACCUUAGUUUCCCAUAAUUAAUAAAUGCACGACAACAAUAGGAUUUUAUGGAAUUUAGAAAAAACGCAGAUUAUGAUGUUGCCGAUGAUGAGGCUUAGGAGCUAGCUAGGUUAUGAAUUGCGAAACAGCUGGGUAACUUGUUUUCUUGACCUAUACAAUCCCGAGGUAGAUUAUGAUGUUGCCGAUGAUGAGGCUUAGGAGCUAGCUAGGUUAAUUUGUGUGAUGUUACAAUGGAUUCACAUUAAUUAUGAUGUUUUGAAUUGUAAUGACUUGUAUUUUGCUUGAAAGUUAUAACAUUUUGGAUGAAUGAGUUGGUAUUUUGCUUGAAUUGUAAUGACUUGGUAUUUUAUUUGAAUUGUAAUGACUUGGUUGAAUGUAA